rnacentral:rRNA from 1 species
CGUAGAUAAUMUGCWUGAUGAUCCGGGAUAACYCUUCGAAARGGGUGCUAGUACCGWAUAAGCCCACGGGGUCUUUGGAUUWUKCGGGAAAAGGGGGGGACCUUSGGRCCUUSUGUCAUCAKAWGAGUCUGCGUACCAUUAGCUAGUUGGUAGGGUAAUGGCCUMCCAAGGCUACGAUGGUUAGCUGGUUUGAGAGAAUGWUCAGCCACACUGGAAMUGAGACRCGGUCCAGACUCCUACGGGAGGCAGCAGUGGGGAAUUUUGCGCAAUGGGMGAAAGCCUGACGCAGCAACGCCGCGUGAGUGAUGAAGGCUUUCGGGUCGUAAAGCUCUGUCGAGGGGAAAGAAGUGUAUUGUGGCUAAUAUCCGCGAUACUUGACGGUACCCCUAAAGG